UAGCGAAGGGGGCUAGCGUUGUUUCGGAAUCACUGGGCGUAAAGGGCGCGUAGGCUGGCUUUGUAAGUCGGGGGUGAAAGCCUGUGGCUCAACCACAGAAUUGCCUUCGAUACUGCAUGGCUUGAGACCGGAAGAGGUGAAGUGGAACUGCGAGUGUAGAGGUGAAAUUCGUAGAUAUUCGCAAGAACACCAGUGGCGAAGGCGGCUUACUGGUCCGGUUCUGACGACUGAGGCGGCGAAAA
rnacentral:rRNA from 1 species